GGGUGAGUAACACGUAUGCAACCUGCCCCUGUCAGGGGGACAACCCGCCGAAAGGCGGGCUAAACCCGCGUACAUGCCACCGGGGCAUCCCGGAGGCAGGAAAGGCUUCGGCCGGACAGGGAUGGGCAUGCGGCGCAUUAGGCAGUAGGCGGGGUAACGGCCCACCUAACCGACGAUGCGUAGGGGUUCUGAGAGGAAGGUCCCCCACACUGGUACUGAGACACGGACCAGACUCCUACGGGAGGCAGCAGUGAGGAAUAUUGGUCAAUGGUCGGGAGACUGAGCCAGCCAAGCCGCGUGAGGGAUGAAGGUACAGAGUAUCGUAAACCUCUUUUGUCAGGGAACAAAGGCGGGGACGUGUCCCCGGAUGAGUGUACCUGAAGAAAAAGCAUCGGCUAACUCCGUGCCAGCAGCCGCGGUAAUACGGAGGAUGCGAGCGUUAUCCGGAUUUAUUGGGUUUAAAGGGUGCGCAGGCGGUCUGUUAAGUCAGCGGUCAAAGCCCGGGGCUCAACCCCGGCCCGCCGUUGAAACUGGCAGUCUCGAGUUGGAGAGAAGUAUGCGGAAUGCGCGGUGUAGCGGUGAAAUGCAUAGAUAUCGCGCAGAACUCCGAUUGCGAAGGCAGCAUGCCGGCUCCACACUGACGCUGAGGCACGAAAGCGUGGGUAUCGAACAGGAUUAGAUACCCUGGUAGUCCACGCAGUAAACGAUG
rnacentral:rRNA from 1 species